rnacentral:rRNA from 1 species
GAGUAAGAAAAAUGGUUCUUACUUGCCAUAGGAUAGGAUCGUGUUCGAUUAUGGUUGUUGGUAAGGUAACGGCUUACCAAGCCGAUAAUCGAUAGGGGCCGUGAGAGCGGGAGCCCCGAUAUGGGUACUGAGACAACGACCCAGGCCUUACGAGGCGCAGCAGGCGCGAGACCUCCGCAAUACACGAAAGUGUGACGGGGUUACCCAAAGUGUCCUUUCUAGGACUGUGGUAGGUGAGUAAUGUCCCCUACUAGAAAGGAGAGGGCAAGGCUGGUGCCAGCCGCCGCGGUAAAACCAGCUCUUCAAGUGGUCGGGAUAAUUAUUGGGCUUAAAGCGUCCGUAGCCGGUUUAGUAAGUUCCUGGUAAAAUCGGGUAGCUUAACUAUCUGUAUGCUAGGAAUACUGCUAUAC